rnacentral:rRNA from 1 species
UACGUAGGGUGCGAGCGUUAAUCGGAAUUACUGGGCGUAAAGCGUGCGCAGGCGGUUUUGUAAGCCAGAUGUGAAAUCCCCGGGCUUAACCUGGGAAUGGCAUUUGGGACUGCAAGGCUUGAGUGCGGCAGAGGAGACUGGAAUUCCCGGUGUAGCAGUGAAAUGCGUAGAUAUCAGGAGGAAUACCGAUGGCGAAGGCAGGUCUCUGGGCUGACACUGACGCUCAUGCACGAAAGCGUGGGGAGCAAACAGG